CUGAUGCAGCAAUGCCGCGUGAGUGAUGACGGCCUUCGGAUUGUAAAGCUCUGUUCUUCAGGGACGAUAAUGACGGUACCUGAGGAGGAAGCCACGGCUAACUACGUGCCAGCAGCCGCGGUAAACGUAGGUGGCAAGCGUUGUCCGGAUUUACUGGGCGUAAAGGGAG
rnacentral:rRNA from 1 species